rnacentral:rRNA from 1 species
GACGAACGCUGGCGGCGUGCUUAACACAUGCAAGUCGAACGGUAAGGCUCCAGCUUUCUGGGGUUCACGAGUGGCGAACGGGUGAGUAACACGUGUGUGACCUGCCCUUCACUUCGUGAUAAGCCUGGGAAACUGGGUCUAAUACCGGAUAGGACCUCACCGUGAGGGUUUGUUGGUAAGUUUUUUCGGUGUGUGAUGGGCCCGCGGCCUAUCAGCUUGUUGGUGGGGUAAUGGCCUACCAAGGCGGCGACGGGUAGCCGGCCUGAGAGGGUGGACGGCCAAAAUGGGACUGAGAGACGGAGCAGACGCCAACGGGAGGCAGCAGUGGGGAAUAGUGCACAAUGGGCGGAAGCCUGAUGCAGCGACGCCGCGUGGGGGAUGACGGCCUUCGGGGUGUAAACAACUUUCACCAUAGACGAAGGGUUUCUGACGGUAGAUGGAGAAGAAGCAACGGCUAACUACGUG